CUGCGGCCCAUCGUCGGCAAUCAGGAACCACCAGGCGGCGGCGCCCACCGUCGCGAACCCCACGUACACUGCAAGCACCAUCGCCACGGUUACCAUCGUCACGGUUACCAUCGCCACGGUUACCAUCGCCACGGUUACCAUCGCCACGGCGGUUACCAUCAUCACAUCACCGUGGCCAGUCACAUCGUCGUCGUCAUGGGCAGUCUCACCACCACCGCCACCACCAUCAUAAGUGACACCAUCACAGUCACCGUCAUCAGUGAUGUGGUACGUGGCGGGGUACCCUCAUCUCGGUUCAUUUAUCCUGCCAUGGGGUGACUGCAGGCUGAUUUUUUUUUAUCGUGCGCGUGUGAUUCUUCAUCUGCAAUUCCUCGCUUCACGCGGUGUUCGGCAGACGCGGCGCUUUUGAGGAACGCGUUGACAAUCGCGAGCCGGAGCGCACGGGAAAGGCCGGGGGUGAGGCCGUCUCUCCACCCCAACCAGCACGCGGCUGGGAGGCACUUUGUCAGUGCCAAGGCAGUGCUGAUGGCCCGCCCCUCCUCCACAGCCGCCACGAUCGACGCAAAGUUGUCGUCGGCGAGCACCAUCUCGGACGCCGACUUGGCCACGGCCGUGCCGGAACCCAUGGCGAUGCCGAUCUCGGCCUUCUUGAGCGCUGGGGCGUCGUUCACGCCGUCGCCCGUCUGCGUGUGCGCACGUGCGCGUGAGUGAGUGGGGAACGGUAACAUAGUUGGUUAGCGCACCGCGUUACGAUCCCGGCGACCUAAGUUUGAUUUUCACCCUUGUCCAACAUCGGUGAUAGAUAGCCGAACCGGUCCCAUGCUCCCACCCUGCGCCAACCCGCACUGACCAGCGUGGUGAGGUAUGGUCACACAACCGGCACGACCGACGCGGUAAGAGGAUCGCAAGUCCAGCAUUCGAACCAUUACAACGCCGCCACCGCAGCUCCCUCCAUUUCGCGGUCGAACAGCGAGACGCGUCACGUCAGUCGCUGGAGACGUUUCUGUACGUGCGGUAAAGCGGUGACCAUUAUUUGACCGAUUUGUUUCACGCGGUUAACAGUAAAGCAAAAACAAUCAAAACACCGGCCCGAUAUCUAUCAAGAUGGUGAACAAAGAACAUGCUUUAGCUUUUCCGGCAACAACACAGGAGGGAUAAAGCUGUUCAAACACCACAGAGGAGGCCGAACUGAUGGUGGCCAAUCAUUUUCAACGACCAUGCAUACAAUAUCAAAACGUGUUUGUUUACAUGAUUUACCGCAAGUAUGUGUGGUUAAUGCCGACUUGACGCCUUGUAAUAAUCGGCAUCUAUUUAGUGCUUUAACAUUUUAACCGGGGUAACGCCUAUUCGUUAUUUUUUUUUAACAGCCCCCAGCGAGAAUUUCUCAAGUGAUGGCGGCGGUGGUGGCGGCGGCGGCUACAGCGACGGCGGCGGCGGCGGCAUUGGCGUCCAUCGGGCGCGUCGCACCAUCGCUGUGAUCUCGUUGAAGGACUGCAGGAGGCCGGAAGACCCGGGGUGGAGUCUGCCACCCCCGCCGACCCGGGAGCCACGAGCGUUCCCCAUUGGACGAUUCAAAAUAUUGGACGUUGGCGGCGGGCAACCGCGCGGGAAUAAUUGUGGUGGCGACCGUGAAACAGAAACCCCGGUGUCUGAUAGGGAAUCAAAUAAACAAGUAGGAAGGGGCCACGUAGCACGCGCACGCACGUGCAGACACGCACGCACUGGGGCAGGGAAAGAGACCCCCCCCCCACCCCCCCGACAGUCUCCUGCAUCGCCCCUCGGCUGUCACGUGACUCCCAGUUAAUGUGCGCUCUCGUACCUCUGCUCUUAAAUGAAUCAAUGCUUAAAAAAUAAUAAAGUUAUUCAAUCAGCUGACGCAUAUCGGAUCGUUCCAUAUCCCAAUAUCACCCUCCCUCCUCUCCCCUCAUCGUCAUCAUCCCCCCCAUGCUCUAUCCACUGCUGGAUGAAGACCUCCCCGAGUGGUCGCCAUCCCUCACUGUUCUGCGGUGCAACAAUCCGCCGGGCUCCUGCACGCGAGCUCAUUUUAUCACUUCCAUCUCUCCGGCGGACGUGCGCCCGCAUUUGGGCGCGCUCGCUCCCAGUCCUGCCACUCCUUUGUUAGUCUCCACCACCGACCGCCGUGCCCUCAAGCCGCGACGUGUCCGGCCCGAGCCCACUUGCUCUUCUCAUCAGUCGACACGGCGCCUCUGGAUUUGCAUACGUUUUAUGAGAAAGGUGACACAUCAUGGCAGGCAAAGGAGAGGACACGCCCAAGAGGAGCGUCCACGACGGAGCGACGAAAGCAGAUCGCGUGCUGGAGCCACGUUUAUUGUGGGAUCACGGCACCCCCCCGCAUGGGGAGUGGCGACAACGUGGAGAGGGGGAUUCGUCCAGCAGUGGAUAGAACGUGACUGACGACGAUGAUGCCCAUAAUUGUCAUCGUGAACGUGACUCGACCCGUCACCCAGAAGGAGCCGGAAAUCAAAGGCCACGCGUUGCUGUGAGUCACUGUGACGUUGAGCAUAGCUGUGACCACCACCCCGCCCCCCGCCGUACCUGUCAGAAUGGACUGGUCCACCCUGAGGGUGGUUGACUUGAUGGAGGUGAGCCUCACGUCGGCCGGAACCUUGUCACCCACUGGGAGAGGAGCGGGGGAGGGGGGGGGCAGAGCAAGUGAGGACAGAGGCAGAGUGAGGUUAGGGCAACAUAACAAAGGGCAGUGGACUUCAACUAUAAUUUCUAGUCGACCACAAUAAAAUUGGCGUGUGCAUAAUUCCCGUACAUGUGGCCACGAAUCUGUAUCUCUUGUCUGUCAAGUCUGACAUCUCUCUCUCGUUUAUCUCGCUCAUCUCUCGUCUACAGCUUCCUCGUGUCUACAGCUCCCUCGCCCGUCUCUCGCUUAUCUUUCAUUAAAAUCACUCGUCUUCAUCGCUUCAUGAUAAAGCUUUGCAUGUUGGUCCAUAACAAUUCUUAACACUUAUUCAUAGCAGAUUAUGCAAACAAUGUGCUGAGCCCGAAACGUCACCAUUUUUAUUUUAAAUAUUUUUGUUUGUCCACCAGGACCACGGUCCAUAAAGAGGCUUUUUUUUGUUAGAUCGCGUAAAUAUUAAUGUGUCGUUAAACCCACCACCGCCCGACACAGCCAAUCAGUAAGCG